GAGACUUUGUUUUUGUUUGUUUGUUUUUAAACCUCAGAACAAUUCUAUAGAAUGCUGGGGAAAAAAUAGGUUUGUUUUGUUCCAAUUAAAUUCUGUGCACAUUUUUGUUUUCCUUCAGUUCAUUUCUCUGGAAAUUACUUCUAUGUUUUCAUUCAAAACAAAGAUUGAUACACCGCUCUGGAGAAAGAAAUUGGCCAAUGCCAACUCAAGCUUCAGCAUCAGUAAUUCUUAGAUGUCUCUUCCCAUGAUACCAUCACUCCAGAGUCAUGUCGUCUAAACUGACUGCAGAUGUAUAUAAGUCUCCCAGGCAUAAUGUUUUAAAUUAAGCUUCUCAAGUAUAGCUCUGUCCAUCUUAACACCAGUGUUUCCUGGACCCCCAGAUACAUUUGCAGGAUUGGCUCAAUAGAAUUGGAACAGACAGUCUGUUCCAACAGAAGAGAGGAAGCUCUGGGUGGCUACUGGUCCAUCAGGAUCCUUAAGCCCAGUUGCAUACAUCUUGGAAUUUCUUUGGUUAGGGCUUUCAGGCCUAUUCCUGUGUGGGAAGAACUUUCCACAGUUCUUGAGUUCGCCUGUUGGACUCUUAAUUCUUUUCCCAUUUAAAGUAAUAUAUGUUUAAAAGGCUGGAGAGAUAGCUCUGUGAUUAAGAGCACUGGCUACUCUUCCAGAGGUCCUGAGUUCGGUUCCUAGCAACCACAUGGUAGCUCACAACCAUCUCUAGUGAGAUCUGAUGGCAUAAUGGUGUACAUGCAUCUAGAGCACUCAUAUACAUAAAAUAAAUUAAUUAACUUUGGAAAAAGUAAUAUAUGUUUGAAACUGUAUAGUAUUGUCACUUUGAUUUCUAACAAUAGAAUCUAGGAGCUCUAAAUUCCACUUUAAGUUUUACUCUCUCUAUACUUGCUUGUAUAAAGACUUAAAAGUAAGUCUCCUAUAAAUAUAAUUCAGUUUAUUCUGUUACACAGAAUCCAUACCUACAAAUCUUUUCAAAACAAAUCCAUGUCUCCUGAAACUGUCCCUCUACUGAAGCUGCAGAGGCACACACCCUGGGGCAUCUUUGAAUCCUAUUUUUGUCGGAGUGACUCUCUGAAUCCCCGCUAUGGACAGUUUUGAGUUCUAAAUAAAGGAUUGUUCAGCCAUACCCUCACCCCUCAGUGAUGCUUGCAACAUCAUCCUGGACUUUAUCUUUGUCUGGAAGCCAUGUCUUUAUUUUAGCAUUAUUUGCCACCCUUAACUGGAGAUUUUCAAACUAGGUACUUUUUUUUGAAGAGUUCUUCCUUCGGAUGAGCUCUUCCUUUUCACAGUUGUGAAGAUAUCAGGCAGUACCAUCAACACUACACCGGGAAAUGACUUUGGCUACAACAGCCAAUCGAUUAGGCACACUUUCUAUUUUCCACAUCUCUGUAGGUGACAGUGUCACCAAACUCCUGUCUCUAUAUAACAAACACCACUCCUAGUUUCCAAUAGCAUCUUCUCUUUAAGCUCUCUCCUGUAGCUAUCUCAAAGACCAUUUGGAUCUGACCAGCAGUUUCUUCAACGUUCCAGUUUUUUACUAAUAUUCACCUCAAUGUCCUGCUAGCUUCUUCCUGUUGCCCAAGUUCAAAGCCAUUCCAAUUUUAGAGUUUUAUUACAGAAGAGCAUCGCUGAAAUAAAAUCUGUACUCAUGAUCUAUUGCUGCAUAACAGUUCCUUCAAAACUUUGAAUCUUCCUCAGGCUGCUCGGCUCCUUGGCACUGGCCUUGUCUUCUCACAGGGGUUAACAACAGCUGUAUAGCAUCUAUCUCAAGAUGCUCAGCAGGCAGAUGUGGAGGACAGGGUACUUGGCAGCUUCGUCUCUUGCAAAUUCAUGUGAGAGUCUCAGAAAUAAAUGAUACAUUUCUAAAUA